CGGGGCUGUGAGACUGAGUGCUUGUGAGCUUCGCACUACUACUACUACUACUAGUAUGUCUUUCUUCCGCGAGCCAGAUGCCGAAACAUUUCGUCGUGAAUGGUGGAAAGGACAUUUUGCCGAAGUACGAGCACUGUGGUGUAGCGGUGGGUACUCGGUCGAACGGCAUUCGCCAUUCCGUAGCGGACGUGGACGGAUUUUGGCACGGAGUCACAGCUCGACGACCACUAACCUGUGUACAUAAUCAUUGCUGUCUUGCCGGCCAAUGGGUUUGCCUUCGACAGCAUUCUGUUCCGAGCGCUCGUUCUAUGCAGAGAGACCGGGACAAAGCCGCGCAAUUAUCCCCAGUGGACUCCUUUGAGCAAAUAUGUAUCAACUUCACGAACGAGAAGCUGCAGCAGCUUUUCAACCAUACCAUGUUCAUUCUGGAACAGGAAGAGUAGCAUUUGGAGGGUAUUGAGUGGAACUUCAUUGACUUUGGAUUGGAUCUGCAGCCUUGCAUUGAUCUCAUUGAGAAGGUAUGAGACCAUGGGAACUUUGUAAGGUGGAGAUUUAUAUCCAGUGGCUGUCGUGUGUAUAUGUGUGAAUGUGUGUAGGGGUGGGGGUGUCACAUUUGAUAACUUUUAAAACAAAGCAUGCCUGGCAUGUACGUUGUGAAGUAGUAAAUAGCACAGUAUCAGGCAUAAUUCCCUUUGAUAUCUUGGACUUGAACUGUCGGUCUUGGAGGAGCGGUUCCUGUUUCCUGGUGUGGAGUAGACCCAGGUGCUCGAAGUCCGUACAUGGUAUCCUAAGUUCGUACGCCCAUAAUUUCAUGUUCUGUUAUUUUAUUCGACUCAAAUAUUUUAUGAAGCGGACAGUGUGGUAUGUUCUCCUCGCGUAGCAAUUUUCAGGGAUCUACGAUAAGCAGAAGUCCCAUACCACGUGAGUGGGUUUUCGAGUGUCCAUACGAAAUACAAAUUGGGUUACAUUUCAUGCAAAAAUAUACUUUGCCAAGACCGAUUUCGAACGGACACAGCGUCAAACAGACCUUCACUCAAUCAUCAAGAGCCAGCUUAGAGCUGAGAAUGGCCGGAGGAGAAGAAUUUACAGAGAACCACCAAUCUUUGCAGAAAGGUUGACACUCCUGGCAUCUCCACCACUGUUUUCCCGCGGUUUUCACAGCGCAGCUGCUUCUUCUCUGAGCCGACUAAAAACAGCUUGCAUUUCGGCAACAAACUACGCUUUUGCAAGAAAUACUGGUGGAGGCACAUGCCAAACAUAUCCCUUCGGUGCUUUCGUCGUAACCGAGGGAUUGCAAGUUAGCAAUUAGCAGAAAUAUGUGUGUAUUUCGAGUCACCCCUGAUCAGUCGGACUUAGAGUACCCUCUGCGACACCAAAAUUUGAUAUGAGAAAUCAGCGAACUCCAAAGAAACAGAUCGGAUCGAAAGAUGGCCUGGUUCAAUCGAGCCUGGCCUCAGAACAAACUUGGACAAGAUACCUUCCAUCCACGAGCAGGAUUCUGGCAAGUGAUCAUUGCUAGUGUGAGUUUCAGCUCGACAAACACACACUGUAAAAGUGUACGGACUUCGAGCACCUGGGUCUACUGUUUGAUUUUUUUCUAUCCAGGGUAUUUGAACUUUUUUGUGCAGUAGAACCUGUUGUAGUUUAUAUCCUGGAAUAGUCAGCACUUACACUUUCUCUCUCUCUCUCUCUCUCUCUCUCUCUCUCUCUCUCUCUCUCUCUCUCUCUCUCUCUCUCUCUCUCAACUUCUUGUCGACUCAGUUAGUGCAAAGAUUUCUUUCCCUAGCUGUGUUGCACUUACCACCCUAAGACCAGAUAUAGUUCUGUACUCUACGAGUCGUAGGAUUGUAUUCUGGAUGGAGUUGACAGUUUGUGCUGAGGACAGAUUCAGUGUCAGUAACUCGCGGAAGGACAGGCGGUAUGCGGAUCUGGCCGAUCAAUGCCGAGCAAACGGGUGGCAGGUCGUUUCUUUUUCGGUUGAGGUAGGUGUGCGUGGUUUCAUCCCGGACUCUCUUCGGAGGGCUCUGAAAGCGCUUGGGUUUUCUAAUCGAAGAAUAAAAUUUAUUUGUAAUUUGUGCAGUAAGACAUCUCUGCGAAGCAGCUACAUCAUCUGGUUGCGACGUCAACAAAAACACUGGUCGGAAGAUCCACUUUUCUGAGGUACUGUAUGUGGGGCUCCGUUUAUUGAGGUGCGUUGAAAUUUAUUCUCUUUAUCUUAUUAUUUCUUUUCUAUAAUUUCCCCAUAUGAGUUCCUAUCAGUUGCUGUGAACACCUUGAGUGGAGAGCGCUUGCUCGAGUGUUGAACCGGGUUCUUAAUGCACCAUACCCAGUUCGCAAGGCUGAGCGGGGUUGUGAGCAGGCUUUCAUUUCAUCUUUUCUUAUUAUUUCUUAUUAUUUCUGCUUUUCAUCUCAUUACAAAAAUUCUGCGCUUUUUCUCCAUCUGCGCAUAAAAUCUAGACUGACA